AUACGAAGGUCCCAAGCGUUAUUCGGAAUCACUGGGCGUAAAGAGUAUGUAGGCGGUUUGGUAAGUCAGGUGUGAAAUCCCGGAGCUCAACUUCGGAACUGCAUCCGAUACUGCCAGACUAGAGUAAUGGAGAGGCAGGUGGAAUUCUCGGUGUAGCAGUGAAAUGCGUGGAUAUCGAGAGGAAGACCAAUGGCGAAGGCAGCCUGCUGGACAUUUACUGACGCUGAGAUACGAAGGCUAGGGGAGCGAAAGGGAUUAGAAACCCCGGUAGUCC
rnacentral:rRNA from 1 species